rnacentral:pre_miRNA from 1 species
UAGCUACUUCCUCCGUCCGAAAAUACUUAUCAUCAAAAUGGAUAAAAAGAGAUGUAUCUAGAACUAAAAUAUGUCUAUAUACAUCCCCUUUUAUUCAUUUUGAUGACAAGUAUUUCCGGACCGAGGGAGUACAUG